GACUCAGUAGCGGAUGGUUCCGCACCCGCACCCUGUUACAUCGGUCACAUUUUCUACGGGGUUUCCUGGUUCGACUCCAGGCUGGGUCA